UCAACAGCAGUGCUCAUUUUGGAGUGUUUUAUUAAUCCAACCUCUGUUAACUCUCAGUACGUCCCUUUCAGAACUGCCUCUGGAGAUAUUUAGAAGAACAUGAUGCCCAAGAAGCCUCAGCAGUCUUUGUGUGAACAAUGGACCAGCUGAGGCGAUUCCAGAGGAUUUCAGAGGAUUCACCAGAUCUUUGCAAAUCCUUCAGCUGAACAAGCCCACCCUUCUGAACUCUUUCACCCAGGCUUGAUACAUCAAGCAAACUUUGGUGGAGUUAUUCUUGCCUCACACCAAUGGUAAGAGGAAAGAGCAGCGUGUUUCAUGUUAUUUUGUGCCAGAUGUUUUGUUGGUAGAAAUCCAUAGCUCCACAGGCACCAAUUUCUUCAGGAUCUGGAAUGUCUGGCACAAUUUCUUUCUCCAUUCUGGACGGUCUGUGAAGGAAACUGCUUUGUUUUGCAAUAUUGAAUAUUCAUGCUGGGAAGUUAUAAGCAAAAGCAAAAUAAUGAGAGACAGGGUCUCUAAUAAGCUUCCUGUCACAUGAGGCUCUGGUUCUGUUGAAGCAGAUGUGGUUUCCAAAAUGUUUGUUGAGUGGUGAUUAGAUUCUGUCAUACUGAUGUUAUCUCUCUCUGAUCUCCUUCAAUACAAGUAGUUCUGCAAACAGCGAAAUCUUUUCUCCUAUGGAUUUAUAUCUCGGAUUGUGUUUCAGCGUGCAUCAGAUGUGAUGUUUGAUGGAGAUUGAGUUAAUUUUAGCCUGUUUCUUCAAUGAGAGAUGAAUAAUGUCUUCUUUACUUGGCUAUCAACUUUCACAAUUAAGCAUCUCCAGCGUUAAAUUUGAUUGGGAAUUAUGAACCAGCUCCAAAGUUAUUUGGGAUCAACUCAUGUAAACAAACAUGAGCACGAGUCUCAUUUGCUUACAAAAGCAACAGGUAAGAAUCAAUUAUAAAAUAUCUUGUCCUUGUGUAUUACCUGCUUGAUUCUGUUCUGGUUUAUUUGUGAUCAAUCACAGAUGAUGUGCUUUAUUUGUAAAGCUGUAUGAAGUAUGGGAAUCGUUUUGCUACACUGACUGCAUAUUAAAUCCUCAUGAAUUUAUACUUGUUACAGGCUACACAAGAGAUUACAUUCUUUUUUGAUUGUCCUUGCUGGAGCAUGGGAAGGAGGUGACAUGCAUUUUAACUUACUGUUUGCACAGGCAAGUGCAGAGAAAGAACAGAUUGUUUUUCCUUUAGAAUUAGUCCUCAUCAGUUCUGGUUUGGAAAGGAAGAAAGGAAACCUAGAAUUGAAAAUGACCUUUAGGGUUGCUGAGUACAGUUUUCUGCUUUGCAGUGAGCCACAUUCCCAAUCUUUUUCAUAAAGAGAUUGUGCUAUUCAGAAAUAGGCUCUUUCCUCCUUGUCUCUCUUAUCCUCCCAGUUUUGACUUUAUUUGGGUGUUUGCUCCAGAAUUUCCUUCUUUUAAUAGGAGGAAACCUUCUAAUUUCCAUGGUCAGUUUAUGCAUGUUUGUUGUUAUUCUAGGAACAUCCCUUAGGUUGCAUGGCUCUUUUCUACACCAUGUAACUAAUCUGAGACUGUACAUGUGAUCUGCUGUGCCAAGGCCAGUAAAAGAGGCAGGAGUUAGUCUUCCAUUCACUUAUUUCCCUCAUACUUUCACUGUUUAUAGCAAAGUCUUUAUGCAUUUUUCAUGAUAUGUCACAUUAAGCAAAGAGAAAGUUCCUGUGGAUCACAGAUAAUUUGAGGAACUGGUCAAGUGAGAAGGGUGCUGGGAAGGUUGGCAGCAGUCUCAGCUCACUGGCUAGAGGAGGAUGAUGUUGCACAGCCUAAGGAGGUCAUAUGAAAAUUAAGGAUACCAUGAUAAAGUAAGGAAAUGCUAGCCACUUUAGCUUGUUUGUACUAAAUGAGAGGCCUGAAGUCUUUCCCCCUUCCUUCCAUGUUGAUCUUUCAAAUGUUGGUAACAUCCAGUCAGGCUUCAUGUGGUUUGACAGGGGUUUAUUGGGGCUUGACCUGGGAAACUGUAAGCUUCCUUGAGCUUCAUGUGCAGGGUCAGGGUUCUGUACCUCCACCAAAGCUAACUUUUCUUUCAUACCCUUCUCAGUGACAAUACAAAUCCGUCUUGAUUUUAACCAUUUUACUUUUAUAACAUGUCUGAAUAACCUUAUCAUCAUCUCUCUGAUUAAUAACCCUACAUUAGGCCUUCAAACUCUCUACUUGUUACCUUUCCAAUGUAAAAACUAUUUGUCUAGAUUAAGAAAUGGUUAUAUGGCUAUUACAAAAUGUCAUCAGGAUUUAAGAAUAAAGCUUUAAAAAAAUCACAGUUGCUUCUUUCAAACCUCUUUGAUACAUUUUAAGUUACAUUUUAAGUUACACCUAUCCAAUUUUCUGCAUACGUGUUGAGAACAGUCCUGUAAGAGAACUCUAGCAGUCUCUCUCACUGUCUUUUUAUUCCUCUGCAAGGUUAGUUUAGUUUGCUUAAUGUAGAAGAACAAUUCAUUUGAAAAUGAAAAGCGUGAAAGGGGAGCAAUAAUUAAAGAGGUAGAAGUAGAUGAGACAAGAAGGUAAGAAGUAGAUCAGCAAUUUGAUGUAUUCAGCUUCACUUGUGCCUGUGUAAGAGGUGGCAUCUGUUUAUGGUUAAAGAGGAGCAAUCAUGUAGAAACAGAGCAAGAGCUAGAGAUGAGGGCUCACUCAUCUUCAACUGCAAAGUAGCCAGAUUUCUUCAUUAUGUUUGAUAAUGGUCCUUUAAUCUGAGUUGAAUCUCUGAAAGGUCCCAAGAAAGAUGGCAAUGGAAAUUUUAAACCCAAAUUUUAGGACUCUGGUUGUUGCUGGGGAGCUUUUCCUUCAGGAGACCUUGUCAGCUGGAACCAAUGUCUGUGUUACAAAGUGACCCCCAUGUCGGUACUCAGCAGCCACUCUUGGAUGCUGGGUGCAGAGGCCUGCUUCAGAUUCUUCAGAUGUGAGUGAUCUCUGAACAAUGCUCACCCUGGUCUCCAAGAAAACAUACCAGCAGCCAAAGAUAACUGCAGUGCAAUCUGGCUAAACCCAUCAUCUUCCACACUGGUCCCCUUCCUUGUCCGAGCCUCACCCUGUCCCAGGGGUCUGCAAGGGUGUGUGUGGCAGGCAGCCAUCACCCAGGAAUCUCCCCUCUGCCCGGCAGUUUAAGACUGGGAGGGCUCUUUCCUGUUUUCUGGCCCCUUUCAGGACUGACAAAAGGAAGCCAGACACAGCCUGGAACUUAUGCCAAAGUUUUCCAAGUCUUUGUUAACUGGCAGGAUGAUGGAUAUCAGCCAGUAGUGUCUGGGUGUAAAAGAAAAAGGAAAUCAGAUGGAGUCUCCAAGAGUCUAACAGGAACUGCAGAUGGUUGGGAAUGAAUGUCCCAACUUUCAUUUCUUUGGAAUAUUAAACUUGAACAGAUGAUAUAACAAAGAGCAAUCCACAGCCACAGAGCAGAUGCUCAUAUCACCAGAACAGAAGCUCCCACACAUUCCUGCUCACCACACAAGUGCUGUCAGUGAUCUCUUUGCCGUGUUAUUUGAUUGUCAGCCUGGCUGUAAGAAUAUAUUGUCUACCCGUGUGUCAGCUUGUUUAUCUCACCUGUCCCUUCUUAAGCCAUUGACUGUUUUAGCCACAUCUGGUAGAAUGAAAGAGGUCUCAAAGUCAUAAAAUCCCUAAAAAAUUCAUUACUGUAGGUAGCCAGGUCUGGAUAGAGAAUAAGGGAGGAAGACCCUUCUAAGAGGAUAGAAAAUCUACUCUUGGGUAAAUCCUUAAGUCUGUUGCAAACUGGGCUUCAAAAGCACUUUAGCAUAACAUGUUUAUCUAACACUACCAGCUUUUUCUGGGACUGGCAAAUGAAUUAUUUAGUAAUGGAAACUGCAUGUGUAUCUGUUUGGCUUCUGUAGGAGUGUCUGUAGGGAUCACAGCUUUGUGUCACAGACCCUGUGUCUUAACGUGAAGAAGAGAGCACUGAGAGGCAAGUUUUGGCUUUUACUGCUAAUGCUUUGUAAAAUAACCUUUGUGGUCUGCAGACUCAGACCUGUGCAGGUCUCUGUGACCUAAGAUUUAUUACACCACUACCAUAUUUAUACAUCUCUCUCCAGUUCCUGGAUAUGAAAGAAAUUAAAGGUCGAAAAGUUCAGCUUCAUGUUAAUAGAUCCAGAUAUACCCAAUAUUUAACUUCUCUGGACAAAGGAAGCUCAUUGAGGGCUGGCUUGUCCUGUUACGUUGUGCAGGUGUCAGCACUGUGUGCUGCGAAGCUUCAUGCAACCUUAGGGAUAAAAAAGAAUAAAAGCCAAGUGUAUGCUCAAUGGGAACCAGAUGGAGUUUUCAUUAGAUAUGACUUCUAAUGACCUGCUUUAAAAGUAAAGAUACACCAUUCAGAGCAGAAGAGGGACCUCCUAAUAGCUUUGUUCAGGUCCCAGGCUCAUUAUCUUAGCUACAGAUAAGCAAGAUUGCAAGAUCUUUGUAUCAUUAGGAAUUCCAGCCAAACUCGCCUACCAUUAUUAGAAUUCCAAACACAGCAACCCAGUUUUGGGGCCUUAACAAUAAUUUUCCCUAAGAUGUAUCUUUAAUGAUUCAAAGUUAUUAUUAUGGGCCUGGCAGUUGAUUGCUCUGUUUCUGGAGUAUUACCAUGUAACCCGGGUCAGAAUAAAGAUCCUGGAACAUUCAUUGCAGGGCAGAGCUUUUGCUUCUUUGAGGGCCUGGUCUUCACAGUGAGCUUUUUUGACUCCUCCAAGUGGUCUUCCUGGCUGUGAGAUGUGACCCCAGCAGUCUAGAAAGCCUCAAGAUCCUUCCUAAAAGGAUGAACCCUGCAAUCUGUGCCUGUAGGUACUAAAUCAACUUCUGACAAGUAAAGAACAAUACAAUCCCAGGGCUUUAGGAGUAGGUGAUUGCUGCCAAACCACAAUAAAUGCUUUUGUCUGGAACUCAUGGAACAGUAACAUAGCAGUGGAGGGUGUACCCUUGUCUGUUAUUCCCUCUGAGCAAAUUCUCAGAGACAUGUUACCAGGAUUCAGAUAGUUUUCAUGGAACUAGUGGAGAAAUAGGCUUUCAUUUCCGUACAGAGGAAGAGACAAUGGAACUCAGCAAAACAUAUGGCAAGUUUUUGUUCCUGUCUGAGGGUUAUGCAAGCAAAACCACUGCCCAUCCUCAGACAGAGCUCUCUAAAGUGACCCUCACGUGAGGAAAUCUAUGUUACCUCUCUUCUGAGUUGUGAAAAUUGCUUUACUUCCUCUGCCUAUGUAUAAUUACAACCUAUGUCUUCAAAUGAUCUCCAACUGGAGAGUAUGAAUCACAGUCCAAGUCCAAGGAAGUCUGAAGCUGAUGUUCUGGUUCACCGUCACCUCUGUAGAAAAUACCUGCAUGGAUAAAAAAGAAAUAAGCCUCUUGUUUUGCUAAAGAAAGGACUAGAAGGAUCAAGUCCAAUGAUACUCUAUCACAAACUAUUUAUUAAGCACCGUUCUGAAACCAGGUUGUUCCCACUCUCUUUGUUAGAAACCUUCUUCAAUUUCCAGAGUAGAGUUACUAAUGACUAGUUUGUUCACAUAUAUUAUUGUGCCACACCUCUCUUGCAGUUUAGACUGUACACACAUAGCACGUGAGCCUGGAUAUUAGAUUUCUUCUGGGUUUUGUCUCUUUCAGGGGAAAAAAAAAGAGCUUAAAUAUAAGAUCACCUUGUAUUCUAGAUCAAAUUAUUUCCUCCUACAAUUCAAUAAGCAAAAGGAGCAGAUGAUAAGAGAGUGCCUUAUAUUUGGAUUUGUGUAACUUAGUCAGAAUGGUCCAGCCUUUUAGCAACAGCAUCCCUGCUCCGUUGGUCGCUCCUGUUACCUUAUGUCCAAGUAAAUGCAGUCAACUUUCUUUCUUUGUGAUGUAUUUGCAGAAAUCAAGCAUGUGUCCUCUUUCCCUGUGUUGCUAGAGUGAAAAAAACCAAACUCUUCUCAUACAACGGUUUCUUCUUCAGCCAUUCAGAUGGCCUUUUUAUGAUUCAGGGUGGCUUUCCGAGCGUGGUGACCAAACCUGCACCCCCUUUGCACAAAGCCAGUUCCAUCAGAUUGUGAUUUUAAUGAGGGGUAAGAGGUUUGCAGAUACUAGUGUAUGUGAAGAGGACCGAUUCUCUGAGGAUGAAUUCUCAGCAAAUUCUAAGCAGGUGCCUUUAUGAGGGAUCUAGUUGUGUAAACCCCAGUCACUCAAGGGGGAACCUUGUCCUAAGUAAAUGACAUAAAACACACCCCUGAACUGACAACGGGCCUGCUUCCUACAUGUGAAAUAACCCCCGGAACUGCUAGAAGCAGUAGCAUAUGGUAUCUUUUAUUCACAGGUGCAGUAGUGUUUGCAUCUGCAUGAAGAGCACUGUGAGCUACUGUUGGAGUGUUUCUAGCAUCUCAGGAAAAGCAACUUCUCAACAAGAACAAUACUGCUGAGAGCAACUGAGACCAAAAGCCUGGCCUUCAAAAUAUAUGACUUGAAAGGAAAGCUGCAUUUUUUUGGUAAGGUCCAAAUGUAUUUCAUUCGGCUUUGCUGCUACUCCCAAAGUUUGGUUGUAAACAAGUAUGAUUUUUACCCUGGAAGCCACACAUCUGGAUUGCAGUGCCUGUGACUUUUCAUCAUCACAAGUAGUUAUUUGCUUUAUAAUUUUCUGCUUGUGCAGAAAACAGCUUGUAAGAGGUAACCUGAGCAAACUCUAUUUUAUAAUUGAAGAGCUUAAAUGUCUUAAAUUUAUGUCAGCAAGGUGGCUUCAGCCAUUAACCUCCUCUAUAUGACCCUGAAGUCUCAAAAGUCUGCAUUUCUAGCCCUGCAGAGUUCUGAUUGUGACUGCUCUCUCUCAAAUGUCCCUGCUGGCUCUUUGUCCAGAUAGCUCAACUCUCCAAAGCAAUGAUGGACCAACUGCUUUCACGGGAGAUGAAUGUGAACUUGAGUUCACCUACAGCUGUAACCCUUUUUGUAGCUAUACAGCAAUAAAACUUGGAAAGUAAUUUCUGUACAUCAUAAAUAUAGUGAUGUAUCUGUCAGCAUUAUCAGUACUCGAUGCCAAAUGACAACAUAAUGUUGCACCUGAAUAACUCUGUUUAAAUAACAGGUUGUUUUCUCACUGCACAGUUGGUGUAUCCUGGAGAUGCUGCGCUGUGGAGGCUGAAUGUAUUUGAGUUAAUUAGUAUUCAAAAUGUACAGGGGCAUAGAUGCCCCUAAUUCCAGCCUCAGUUCCCCAAACCAUGGCAAUGCGAGUGAUCACAAAAGAAGUCACUGGAAUGAACAGCCACUGAAUUCCAGUAUGGACAAGGAAUUGCAGAAAGGGACAGACUUCCAAUCUGUGCACAGUUCAUACAAAGCAGGGCUUUGGGGGUACAUGGCUGCUGACAGAAUGAGAAGGGGACAUGAACUGUUCACUCUAAGGGGCUGAGGACACCCAGAGAAGGCUGUAUUUGUUUGGAGGAGCUGACAGACUUCACUGGUUCCCUGCCUUCCCUGGAAAAGGUCAUCCAAAAAGCCUUUCAAAUGUCCCAGUAUGGUCGCAGGGCCCUCAGUGUGGAUGAGUAGAAUAGAGUGCUUUUGCUGUUAUCUUCUGCCCCUAAAUCGUUCCUACUCCUGCUUAAACCUAUGGCUUGCCAGCUGACUUCUUGGUAACUUGUGGUUGAUUACCUCAGGUUCUCCUUUACACUUGUCUGGGCAACUUUUUGCUCUCACAAGCAGAAAUACGGACACAAACCCCUCACUAACCACAUCACUUCAAGGAAACAAAUGGGACUGUGCACCCCCCGUCUGAGUAACGCUGUGGUGUGGAGUUGGUUGGAGCUCUGCAGCCUUACAGAUAGCACAGGAUGGGUGGGCUGUGAAGGCAAAGAUGUAAUGCAUGUUCCUCUGGCAUUCUGGAAUAACAUCCUUUUCUAACUGGGUGUCUCUGUUGAUCUGUUUCAUAAAUCAUUAAUAAAUGAUAUUUCUGAAUAAAUACUUUCUCUGUAUCUUCUCCAACACUGAGGAUUAAUUUUGCAUGGGUCUGUGCAUUUACUCUGUUCUUCAGCAGUGACAGAAAGUGAUCUCUUGGCCAGAUUUUAUGAAUGAUGUUGAACAUUUAUUACAUAUUAUGAUCUUUCUGGGUGAUAUAAAGGCAAGUCCAGGGAUCUGUCUCUGGUUCUGUCUAACUGUUUUUCUUCUCUA